AGUGAACGCUGGCGGUAGGCCUAACACAUGCAAGUCGAACGGCAGCACAGGAGAGCUUGCUCUCUGGGUGGCGAGUGGCGGACGGGUGAGGAAUACAUCGGAAUCUACUUUUUCGUGGGGGAUAACGUAGGGAAACUUACGCUAAUACCGCAUACGACCUACGGGUGAAAGCAGGGGACCUUCGGGCCUUGCGCGAUUGAAUGAGCCGAUGUCGGAUUAGCUAGUUGGCGGGGUAAAGGCCCACCAAGGCGACGAUCCGUAGCUGGUCUGAGAGGACGAUCAGCCACACUGGAACUGAUACACGGUCCAGACUCCUACGGGAGGCAGCAGUGGGGAAUAUUGGACAAUGGGCGCAAGCCUGAUCCAGCCAUACCGCGUGGGUGAAGAAGGCCUUCGGGUUGUAAAGCCCUUUUGUUGGGAAAGAAAUCCAGCUGGCUAAUACCCGGUUGGGAUGACGGUACCCAAAGAAUAAGCACCGGCUAACUUCGUGCCAGCCGCCGCAGUAA
rnacentral:rRNA from 1 species